CAGUUUUGUAGUUUAUAAGAAUUAAAGCUUUGGGAGUUUUAGGUCCUUUUUUAGGUAAACUGA
rnacentral:tRNA from 1 species